rnacentral:tmRNA from 1 species
GGGGGUGCAAUGGUUUCGACGGGGAUUUUGAAUCAGAGAUAGCCAUUGAUGCCGGGUAAUCAUCCAAACUGCCCAAAACUUUAAAAAAUAAAAGACAACGAUAACGUUCUUUUAGCUGCUUAAUUUAGCGGCCGUCGGCCUUAGGUAACUCGCUGCCUAAGUAACCGGCGUCGAACAGGCGAGGCACUUUUUCGGCAAAGCUUUGAGCCGCAAAAAGAUUUAUGAAGCUACUGAUUGUCUGAGUGUGUCUGUUCACGCUGACAGGAGGGAAUGAUAAUAGACAGACUGUAAUGGGAGAAGUCUUUGUGGAUAGGUUUUCGGACGCGGGUUCGACUCCCGCCACCUCCACU